GUCAGGGUGGCGGCAGCGGAACUACCCCGUGCAUCAAACUGUCCGCUCUAACAGGCCGAAGCGGUUCCCUGUGAGUAGACUCCUUAAUUUGGGUUGAAAGCGCCUACGCAUCAACCACAUGCAUACGGGACGUCGGCCAAUGUUACUGUGAACAAACCAGCGUGUCCAAAGCAGGCUUGCCUGAAUGUUCGAGCAUGGAAUAACAAGGGAUCGAUUCUCUCGGUUCUUUUUGUUGGUUUUUAACCCGAGAAGGAGUAAUGCAGGCCACGGUGUCUGAGGUGGGUUUCCCUAGGCUUCGGUUUAGGCCCCAUCUAGGCCGUGUCCUUACGGGAUCAAUAGGGACUGACGGGGUCGUACCUACUUCCGCGUCAGAGGUGAAAUUCUUAGAUCGCGGGAAGAGGAACUUCUGCGAAAGCAUUCGACAAGAAUGUCUUCAUUAAUCAAGAACGAGAGUGUGGGGAUCGAAGAUGAUCAGAUACCGUCGUAGUCCACACUGUAAACAAUGCCGUCUCAGGAUUGAGAAGUGAACAGAAUGACUUUCACAGCACUAACCCCUGAAACGAGAAAUCAAAGAUUAUGGGUUCAGGGGGGAGUACAUUCGCAAGGCUGAAACUUAAAGGAAUUGACGGAAUGACACCACAAGGCGUGGAGUAUGCGGCUUAAUU
rnacentral:rRNA from 1 species